rnacentral:rRNA from 1 species
GACAGAGGGUGCAAACGUUGCUCGGAAUUACUGGGCGUAAAGGGCGUGUAGGCGGGAAGGCAAGUCGGGCGUGAAAGCCCCAGGCUCAACCUGGGAACUGCACUCGAAACUGCCUUUCUUGAGUGCCGGAGAGGAAAGCGGAAUUCCUGGUGUAGAGGUGAAAUUCGUAGAUAUCAGGAGGAACACCAGUGGCGAAGGCGGCUUUCUGGACGGUAACUGACGCUGGAGACGCGAAAGCGUGGGGAGCAAAC